GGAGUGGGAUCAGCUGUUUACAGCAGUCGACAAUGAUAAACGGAUCAAUCAACAAACCUACAUUUUAUACUAAUAUAUUUUAACGUUUUCCAAGUAGGCUAUCGAUCAGAUAAAAUUAACUGCCGGACUGAUUGAUCGCUACAAAAUAUUAAAAGUUUUAUCCCUUUUCACCAGCCAACAUGCUGAGGAUUCAUUAAAAUCAGUUAUAAGGAACGAAAACGUAGGCGAAAAAUACUGGAGCAAAAUGCAGGAUUACGAGCCUUGCCCGCGUUUCGCUCAUCAGCUGGUCUACAAUUACGUGAAAAAAGUUCACUAUUUGUUCGGUGGGAAUCCAGGUCGUUCUUGCUUACCGAAAUUACGUUCGACUACUUUUGGCAACUCCGCUCUGCCGACCAUCCCGCAAACAAAUAUUACGAAAAUGCAAAUUAAUCAUACGAAAAUAUAAGUUCGAAAAACUCGCCAUGACGGACAGCAUCGAGGCUCUCUAGUAUCUUCAAAAUGAAGUUUCCGAUAUCAUUGAUAACGAUAACGAGGAGCAAACCAAAGAGUUUCAACUACUGGCAUCCGUCACAUUCCGGGAACAGGAGGAAAAAACGCAAGAAAACUUCAUGUCCGUCGAACCGAAUUGUAUGGCAAGUUGACAGAAUUUUUUUCCGAAUUGCUCACGCAGCCUCGGGACAAUUUAAUUGAUUUAUUGCCAUUAUGAUGAACGAGUGAAACCGGGUAAUCGACAACUCAUUGGCGAUUGACAAUGAUCAAUUGAAUCUGGAGUAGAGGAGAUUAGUGAGCGGUUCAAAAGGAGCAGUCACUGCGUGGCUCAAGAAUGUCCAAAAUUAUUGCGCAAAGGUCUUCUGGAGUUGUUCCCUGGCUGUGUCGAAGUGGCCUCACCGCAGUUUACCAUUAUAACUGUUGAUCAAAAAUUAAAUGAUCAAAGUCACCUGUGGAGCAGGAAAAUGAAAACUGAGAAGCUGGCUAUAGUCUUACAUAAAUAUUCUUGUGAUUGGUGAUUCAUCAUUGGCGAAAUUUCAGCUGGAUUUUGCACUGUUUCAAGAGCUAUAGCAACAACCGGGCGAGGUUCGUUCGGGGCUGGUUUUAACAGCGGCUGGUACAUCCGAUCAAGAAGCUGGAGAACGUAGGUUGGAAGCUGGUGCUAUGGUUUUUAUGACUGCUGUAACUGCCAGCCAUUGAAUUACGAAGAUGCACAAUCCGAAGUUCAGCCUCCAUCCUUCUACAAGGACGCUUCAUCGUAAAUUCAAGCUGG